AGUAUGUUUAAUUAUGAACUCUUUGUCACUCCACCAGACAGUAAAAUAAAGUGACUCUGCGUCGGAUACUUUCCCGAAGCCAGUGAGGAAAUUCCUUUCCCUUCCCCUAUCUCUAAUAGGGGGCUGGUCUGUUUCACAUUCAACACCGCUACUGAAAUUCUAGGAGAGGAGAGGCACAAUUUAUGAGGCACUGUGUAGAUGAGUGGCCAGGCUCCCAUCUCACCGAGCAUCCGGGCAAGAAAAAAACCUCGGCAGCUGUCUGCUGCAGUCAGGCUCUAGCCUCAGGUGCAGCUCCCAGAAGGCUCUCCUGAAUCUGCGUGCCAGCCUCUGAAGCAAUAUAAAGUCACCUCGAGAAAUUAGAUGCCACUUGGAAGAGCCCCAUGCUGUCAUGCCUGCUUGUCAGUUGGAACUGUGAGAGGGGCACCAGUCACAUCUCAAUUACUCCCAGGACUUCUCUCCUGAAGACAGUCCUGUUGUUCAGGAGCACCACUGUUCGGCAACCACCUCAGGUCCUGGACCAGGAAUAUUGCUUAGAUAGCAUCUUGGAAGUGAGAGGUUAUGGGUUUAACUGGCCUCCCUGCACCACAGUGUCUACAGGUCCAAAAAAUGAGAGAUCCCUACAGCCAGUAGGUAAGACAGCAACAUUUAACACUAUCAUCUGAGCCUGUACUAUGCUAAGGGCUAUGAAGGUAAAACAGAAGCACCUUCUCAACCCACCUUUUAGACAGAUGCACAGAGGACCAAAUGGAGUAAGAUAAGAUGAACUUACAAAUGGAAAAACAGAGGCUCCCGGGCCACCAUUCCACCACUCCCAGGGCAGAGGAGGUGAGCCAAUCCCAGCACUCAGUAGGAGGAUCCCCGGCCAGCAUUUCACCCCUCCCAGUGCAGAGGAUUUGAGCCACGCGGGCACCAGCAGCACACACCUCCCCACUGUGGGAAUGAGAAGACCUGUAAACAAGCCUCAGAACCAGACUUCCAGAUCACCUACAGCAACCCCAAAGGGAAAUGAGAUGGAACACUAUAUACUCAACCACCUGGACUCCCUGAACUACCAAUGAAAGAGGACCUGGAAAGAAUGAGCUCAGAAAUAAUUUCUCAGAUAACAGCAGAGAUUGUGCCCAUAGUGCAAGACAUGCUUAAUAAAUCUAGAGAAGACACAGAUAAAAAAAAAAGUAAACGAGCUGAGGAACAUGAUGGAAUCCCAACAUAGGAAACAAAUGGAAUCCAUAAAACAAUUGCAAACAGAUUUCCAGGAGAUUAAAAACUCCAUUGAAAGUUUAUGCAGCAGAAUGAGCCAAUGUGAGGACAGAAUUUCAGAUAUGGAAGAUAAGAUUGCAAUUAGUGACCAGGAAAAGAAAAAUUACCUUAAAAUUAUAAGGGACCACAG
rnacentral:lncRNA from 1 species